UACAGAGGUCCCAAGCGUUGUUCGGAUUCAUUGGGCGUAAAGGGUGCGUAGGUGGCGUCGUAAGUCGGGUGUGAAAUCUCGGGGCUUAACUCCGAAACUGCAUUCGAUACUGCGGUGCUUGAGGACUGGAGAGGAGACUGGAAUUUACGGUGUAGCAGUGAAAUGCGCAGAUAUCAGGAGGAACACCAAUUGCGAAGGCAGCUCGCUGGGACGUUACUGACGCUGAGACGCGAAAGCGUGGGGAGCAAACAGG
rnacentral:rRNA from 1 species